UUGCAAUCAAAACGUUUGCUCUCCAGUCUCAACUGCUAUCAAUGCUCAUCUGCUAUCCAAAACUAGUUACUAUCCAAAUACGUUACUAUCGAAAUAAUAGUUGUGUUUCUAAAUAAGUUGCUAUUAAAACCAGUUCUUAGUACUGGAGGCAACAAAACGAGCCGACUCCAUGCCCACGCAAAGUUUGCCAGAGACUGGAGAAUUCCAAAUUUAGAGAAAUUCUUCAAUUUUUUUUGCGGAUUUUUAAAAGAAAAAAAAGGGUUAAAGUAAUGAUUGAGAGCAAGUCGAAAAUUUUAUAGCAAAUGAUGAUUGAUAGCAAAAUUGUUGAUUGCAACUGAGUUGAUAGCAAAUGAGUUUGAUAGCAAGUGAGUUGAUAGCAAGUGAGGGGAUAGCAAGUGAGGCUAACAGCAAGUGAGUUGAUAGCAAGUGAGUUGAUAGCAAAUGAUCGUGUUUCGUUUAUAAUCCCUUUAAUAUCCAGAGUUUACGUCUAUAAUCCCUUUAAUAUCCAGAGUUUACGUCUAUAAUCCCUUUAAUAUCCAGAGUUUGCAUUAUAGUCCCUUAAAUAUCCAGAGUUUACAAAUAUCCAGAUUUUACGUCUAUAACCCCUUUAAUAUCCAAAGUUCACGUCUAUAAUCCAUUUAAUAUCCUGAGUAUACGUCUAUAAUCCCUUUAAUAUCCAGAGUUUACGUCUAUAAUCCCAUUAAUAUCCACAGUUUACGUCUAUAAUCCCUUUAAUAUCCAAAGUUUACGUCUAUAAUCCAUUUAAUAUCCUGAGUAUACGUCUAUAAUCCCUUUAAUAUCCAGGGUGAUGUAAAUGAGUAUGGGAUACCGCAUGGUUAUGGUUCAGUUCUCUUCUGUUCAGGGGAUCAGCUGUGCGGAGAGUUCAAGUUUGGAAUAAGAGAGGGGAAAGCUACUUUAAGAACGUCAACGCCAAUACUAAGUUGCCUGACUUCCUCUGAAGAGAGCAGACAUAUCUUAUGCUGUCCCAGAAUUGCAGCCUGGAGGAGCACUGUGUUUAGCAUCUUGUAU